ACAUUCGCUACGAUCCGCCGAUCUACUGUUACAUAAUGAUAAGACCCCUGUGUCCCGUGCUGUGACUUGCGCGCUGUCCCGAUCUACCCCCAAGCAGUACCUGGAUAGUUUCACGGGACCAGUGAACGCAUAACAUGAAUACACGAUAGCUGGGACAGCAUAUGGACAGCAACAUGAUUGCAGUAGCCGUGAUUGUCCUUCUGAUCUGUGCUCUGUUCUUUGGCCUGGGACGACGUCUUCGUCAACUUCCGCUUCCUUAUUAUGAGGGACGUCACGUGGUCAUAACCGGAUGUGACACGGGCUUUGGACACAUGCUAGCUAAGGAGCUGGAUGCCAGAGGCCUCUCUGUUUUUGCCGGAUGUUUAACAAACAAUGGCGAGGAGGAGUUGAAGAAAUCGUGCUCACGAAAACUGAGGACCUUUCCGCUGGAUGUGUCUGACCCUGACUCAAUUAAGAAGGCCCUCCGUUAUAUAAAGGCACAGCUUCCAGAUGACACAGACGAGACCUGUACAAGGAAGGGAUAUCAGUCCACAUCAUAGAACCUGGCUAUUUCGCCACAAACAUGACCAAACCAGACAACCUUGUCCUGUUUUUGCAGGAGGCCUACAACAGGUGUGACCCCGAAGUCAAGGAAUACUACGGCAAAGGCUUUGUAGAACAAGCUGUUGACAAAGGAAAGACAUUCCUGAGCGCCGUCACCAAUAGCAACCCCGGGCAAGUAGUCGACGCUUACCUUAGCGCCGUGUGUUCGCGCUACCCCGCUCAUAGAUACGUGGUGGGACUGAGCGCCCAGGUCUUUUACCGGAUCUUGUGGAAUUUACCAGAGAUCAUUUCGGAUUUUAUAUUGUGUUCAAAACGUCCGGUUCCUGCAAAUUAUCGGAAAUCUUGACGGUUACUGUUAGUCAUAAUAAUUUAUGUAAUGUUUAAUGUUAGGCCAUGUGUUAAACGAUUCAAAUCAUAUCAAUUACUGUGAUGACUCCUGUAAAUUAUGGUUUAGCCUUUGUGGAUAAGCAUCGGUGACUCAGUGUCGUACUGUUACAAACUUGUUGUACGUUUUUAUAUUUUCUUAACAAAUAAAUUAAACAUCUUGAUC
rnacentral:misc_RNA from 1 species